UUUCGCACCCCGAUGGCGGUGAAACCUCAGACCUUGUUUUUCCGCAUUAUACCAGUUGUCUCAGACAGUGUCUUGUCACUCGCAGGGCAGCAUGAGUCCAGAGUGUUGUUGUGUUGACAGGCAGAGCUGUGCAGUGUUACCUGUGGAAGUUUGCAUGCACAAAUGAGCAGAAUGGUUUCGGAUGGUGAUGUAGUCGCUCUGGAAGCACUGCAGGCGAUUCAAGGUGGACAAAAUGCAUCACACUUUUGGCUGCAAAAUAAUCAUCACAACAUCCUCACAUUGCGUUCGGAAGUUGCAUCCAAUUUGACGAGUGUGUGUAUGAAGCAUGCGGCGAAAUCUAGACAUUGCACGACUAAUGAACGCAGUGGUGAAGUAUCUGCGACGUGACCUCGGUUAAACACCUCCAGAUUGAUGUCAUCUAUACAAGCUGUUUUCACAGGUCCAGAACGCGAGGGAUAACGUGACACGGUGCUAGAGCGAGGUCUCCGAGACUCAUCAUCAAAGACUUGAGCGGUGCUUUCUAAUCGGUCGCGGGGAGAGUCGGUUGUGCCAGGGAGACAGGUGAGAUGAACUGAUAAGAAGAGCCUAUUUCAGGCUGCUGAGGGGGAGGACGAUGUGACUCCUAUCAGAUGACCGCUGGGAUGCUGACAUACGUGUUACUCUAGAAUAAGGCACAGCUGAGAGGUGAUUAGGUAAAACUUUGAAAACUAACUGUAGGCUCUGAUUUGUGAGGAAAAUAAAUACACGCCACUAACCGUUGCGUUUUGGAAAAGCGUUCAACAAUUGCAAAAUCAUUUUCCCUAAUUACACUGCAUGCAUUAUUUUUUCCUCGAAUAAAGACGUUUUCUUUACUAGCCA
ensembl:lncRNA